AUGGAAAUCCUGAAAAACUCACACGUACCAGGGACCAUACUGAACUCCAGAAUGGAGAUUUUCGGACCAUGCUUGCUUUUCAGGAGAUUCCUGUUAGUGUUUUGGGAACCGCAUAAUAGCGGUAAUAGUGGUAUUAACGAUAAUUACACCACAGCUAGAUAUUGAUUGCUGAUGAGAGUGGGAGAUAACCCCUUACCUUUUACCCUCAUAGCUGACAGGGGCAUAGCAGAAGGAGGACAACACAGACGGUAGCCGAUGACCAGUAGUAAAGGGAGAUAAUCCCCAUUGUUUUGUAUCUGUAUCAUUUUCCCCUUCAUAUUUUAAAAAGGACAUUGGCCAACAGGUUAUAGGGUCUGAAGAUACACCUUAUGGCUGGAAACCCAGGGUAACCCUAUAAACCAGCCUUCACCAGUAAUUAAUAUAUAUAUAUAUAUAUAUAUAUAUAUAUAUAUAUGAACGAGGUAUAGACAGUAACAGCACCACAAUGUGAAGUAUAUUUGCCAUCUCAAUAUGGCCACCCACUAAGGUGGGUGUUACUAAGGUGGGUGUUACUAAGGUGGGUGUUACUGUAGCUUGUUGCCCCAAGAGAACAUCUCCAGCUGGCUAUUGACACACUUUCUGUUUUCGAUGGAAGGGUCCCAAUACAAAUAUUUAUAUCCUUUUUCCAGUGACUUUUCGUCACUGAUCUUGAAAAAGUGUAAAGAAGCAAUAAUAAAUCUCUGAACGAGGUAUAGACAGUAACUGCACCACAAUGUGAGGUAUAUUUGUUAUCUCAAUAUGGCUAACCACUAAGGGUGGGUGUUACUGUAGCUUGUAGCCCCAGGAGAACAUCUCCUCCAGCUGGCUAUAGGUACACUUUCUGUGCCCUAUCGGUAUUUGCAAAGGGAGGUCAUCCUUCCCUCGUUAACCUAAGUGAUACGCACGGACUGCAGUUUCUGGGUCAUCAGCGUACGACAAUCACCGGUUUUCGAUGGAAGGGUCCCAAUGCAAAUAUUUAUAUCCUUUUUCCAGUAACUUUUCGUCACUGAUCUUGAAAAAGUGUACACAAGCAAUAAUAAAUCUCUGAACGAGGUAUAAACAGUAACUGCACCACAAUGUGAAGUAUAUUUGCCAUCUCAAUAUGGCUAACCACUA
rnacentral:lncRNA from 1 species